AGAGGCUAAAAGACCUAGGUUGAAAGAGAAGCCACAUGGGGCCAUUGAUAGAGCCAGUUCCCGGUGGGCGACACUGCCCCUGAAGAGCCCUUAUGGCCCCUUCAGACCUGGUCAUGCUGAGGCCUCCUCACAGCAGAGGCAGCAUUUUAAGGUUUUGCGGGAACCCUUGAGCAUCCCACCCCAGACCACUGAACACAAGCAUUGUUUUGUUUCCUCUUUCACUGCAUGGUGUGCCAACCUGUGUGGGUUUUUGUUUGUUUGUAUUUGUAAAGAAGGAAGAGGGAAGAAUGAAAGGACCCAAUUUUUGAAUUUCAAAUGAGUUUACACCGAGGUCAUUACAUUUUUCUCCAAGAUAACUUACAGCUCAAAUGUCUACAGUUUUAUACGGAACUGUUUUAAGUUUUAAGAAUUUACUGGAAAACUUAUUAUCUACUCGCUAUGGACUUCUAGUUGAUUAAAUGCUCCCUUUUAUUUCCAGCUGAAUACCAUCAUAUUGGUUUCUCAAAGCAUUUAUUUAGAAGUGUAUUAGGAAUAAGAGUGUGUAAAGUAGUCAGAUGGAUAUAAUCCACGUGGCUUAGAGUGUCAUUCAUCCAAACAAUAGGUGGUAUGUGAGCCUCACUAUGCCAGGCAUCAUUCUGGUCAUGGAAGAUAGAAUGAUAUAGAACAAAAUGUGGCAUCUUCCUCAAGAAGGCUCCCUGGCUGCAGAGAAUCACACAAGAUGCUAUGAGAGCAGAGAGGAGGAAGAUCUGAGCCAGUCUCAUUGGCCAGCACUGAUUUUGAGGGGCAUAAGGCACAGACAAGUGCCAACAACUAAGUGCAGAACCAGUCCACAAAAUUGAUAACUUAUAUGUAGCCAGGGCUGCUCAGAAGUUGUGUGCUGAGUGUUGGAGUCAAGACUACUUGGGUUUGAGUCACAAUUCCACCUCUUAGCAGCUGUGUAAUAUUGGGUAUGUCACUAAGCCCCAAGUGCCCCAGCUUCGUUGCCUGUGAAGUGGAGAGAAUAUCUACCUCAGGAGAGGUUUAAAUUAGAUAACAUUUGCAAAGUGUAUUGUUGAGCAGGAUUGCUCUAUAAGUUGAGAUUUAUUUUAAUAAUGAUAAUAAAUAAAAAAUCUGUAGACCAAUCAGAUCAUCAGUACAUUUUUGUUAUGCUCAAAUCAAGAAUUGACUCUUUUAAUAAAGAGUUGAUGGUUUAAAAAAAAAAAAAAAAGAGUUGAUGGUUUAGACCAGGUAAGUUUUA